UACAGAGACUGCAAGCGUUAUUCGGAUUCACUGGGCGUAAAGGGUGCGCAGGCGGCCGUGUGUGUGAGGCGUGAAAGCCCGGGGCUCAACCCCGGAAUUGCACCUCAAACUACAUGGCUAGAGCAUUGGAGAGGGAAGCGGAAUUCACGGUGUAGCAGUGAAAUGCGUAGAUAUCGUGAGGAACACCAGAGGCGAAGGCGGCUUCCUGGACAAUUGCUGACGCUCAGGCACGAAAGCGUGGGGAGCAAAAGGG
rnacentral:rRNA from 1 species